UACGUAGGGUGCAAGCGUUAAUCGGAAUUACUGGGCGUAAAGCGUGCGCAGGCGGUUUUGUAAGUCUGUCGUGAAAUCCCCGGGCUCAACCUGGGAAUUGCGAUGGAGACUGCAAGGCUAGAAUCUGGCAGAGGGGGGUAGAAUUCCACGUGUAGCAGUGAAAUGCGUAGAGAUGUGGAGGAACACCGAUGGCGAAGGCAGCCCCCUGGGUCAACACUGACGCUCAUGCACGAAAGGCGUGGGGAGCAAACGAGG
rnacentral:rRNA from 1 species